rnacentral:rRNA from 1 species
UACGUAGGGGGCAAGCGUUGUCCGGAAUCAUUGGGCGUAAAGAGCGUGUAGGCGGCCAGAAAAGUCCGCUGUGAAAACUCGAGGCUCAACUUCGAGCUGUCGGUGGAAACUUUGUGGCUAGAGUCCGGAAGAGGAGAAUGGAAUUCCUGGUGUAGCGGUGGAAUGCGCAGAUAUCAGGAGGAACACCGGUGGCGAAGGCGGGUCUCUGGGCAGUAACUGACGCUGAGGAGCGAAAGCGUGGGGAGCGAACAGG